rnacentral:lncRNA from 7 species
GCAGUGCGUUUGCGUGUGUGCCGUGCAGCAGCACCGUGCAGCGAUGCAGCGCGGAGCCGCGUGUGCUCCUGUCGCCCGGCUGCUUUGCUGCUCGGCUGCGUGCAUCGCAGCAGGGCUCAGCGGGAAGGGCUCCGGCAGGCUAUAUUUAGCAGCAACAACAAAACAGGCAGCCGGAUCAGCUGACUGGGCGCAGAGAGCACGGGUUAGUUGUAGGCAGCACGUAUCCUGCGCGGAAAGCAGGGCGAGAGAGAGAGGGAGAGAGAGCAGGGCACGGAGCUGGGAGGUACCCCAUCACCCGCAGGGGCUGCGGCUCAGCCAUGGCUCCCCGGAUAAGAUUGAGUGUUUCAAAGCCUCUCCCAACCAUCUGCGAAACCCACGAGGAAGCAAUGGAAGACCUAACCAGCAACCCAAAGCACACUGCAAACACUUCAACCAACCCAGACUUGUACUCUAGCGAUGACUACAUUCAAUCUAUCUGCCACCUUGCCAGGCCCACCUUCCCAGGCAUUCCGGAAAGCAGCCAUAGGGUUCGGAACAGAAGAAUCCUGCAGACCCUGGAAGCCAUGUCAUGGUCCCCAUCCCAGAAAGAAAUGUCAGCAUGUAAAUUGACCAAUUUCAUCUCAAAUGUGAUGCCACUGGGAAAAGCUACAUCUGCUCCUGAUGAUGCAGAAGCCGACUUCUGGUCCAGAGAGGACCCCCUGGCACAGAUCUACAGGCGCACAGGAAACCUCUGCUCCUCCAAGGGUUUGUGGAGCAAAAACUCCAGCACUGACUCCUCACAGUGCAUCUCCUCCAGCCACCUGGACUCCCUUCAUCCCCCAGCCAUGAAAGAAGAAGCCCCAGGAAAACCACAUUUCCCACGGAUGUUCAGUUUUCCAAGGUUUCCCUCUCCAAGGCCAAUGCAGAAAGAAACGCUCUGCUCAGAGCUGAGGUGUCUCAGAAGGGAUGAGGGAGCGGUUGUAGGGAGCAAUCACAGUCAAAAGGAAGAUGCUCCCAGGUUUAUUAACACUGAAGAGCUAUUGCUGUGCUCAGGCAGAGGGAAGCUACUAGGAAAUCGGCUCUUGCGCUGCUCUGUAAGGAGGCAGAGUUUGUUUGAGGCAGUGGGUGCUGAUGAAAAAGAAGGGAGAGAAACUUCUCACUGUGACAAAAACGCAGUGGGUGAUGUUCCCAGUAAACAGAGAUACUCUGAGUGCUUCCAGGCAGCUAAAAAAGCUGUGAUCCAUAAUUGGAUUUCAGAGCAUAGAUGCAUGUGGAAAGAAGCAAAGAUAAAGGCUUGUUUGCUCCCAGCCAUUGCUGAAGUGUGAAAAAGUAUCUGUUCCAAAUAAUGUUGUUUGCAAGAAAUAAACACCCUGUGCUCUAGAAGCUCUCCCUGGAGUCCUUAUGUGGAAAACAUGGCUUGAAUGUGCAUGCAAGUCAGAAAACCUUUUGUGAUCCAUCUUACCCCUCAUCAGUGGGCAAAUGGACAACUUGGAGUCCAGUCCUCUGAGAAAGCAGCAAUUAAUUCUCAUUUUGGAAAGACAACGGUUCAUAAAGCAUUGCCCCACACCUAUUGCCUUGAACUGCCCUGAGCAUGGAGGAAAUUGAAGAGCCAUCUGUCUUGAAGAAGUAAUCUGAAGGAAAAAGAAACAACAACCCACACACCUACUGCCAUUUCACAGCAGAUGCCAAGCAGCCAGAUGUUUCACACGCUUGGGUACAGUUAUUCUGAAAGGAACAUUCUGAAUGGUGCUUGGACAGUACUAAAUAUGCCCUCACUGACAUAUGCAUUCACUGAGACACACAGCAUAGAUCACUGCAUCAACACCAGAAUACCACUGGGUCAGUCAUCUGGUAGUGCUUUCAUGUAAAGGAAUACUUUUAAUAGCUGUAAGAAGCCUGUGAUGAGGAUGUGUUAGAGGACAACAUGAAAAAUACUGAAACUGCUCUGGGUGGGACUUUUCCCCUUCCUUAGCACUGCAAAAGUUUAUGACUUUCAUGUCACAAUCUAACCUUUUUGGGGAUGAGUGCCCUGGGUGAGCAUUGCUAACGCUGGUCUGGUGCUGCAAGAAAUCAGGGUCCCAUCGGUGUCUGCACUGCUGUCUGUGCUGGGUGGGAGCACAGCUGGGAGCUGAGAAAGCUCUGUGCACGUAUGGAUUGUGUCUGUGUUUCCCUUCAUCUGUGUGCUUCUCUAGUUUCCCCCACCUGGCCAUGCUAACCACACUGACUUUUCUAUGCCUGGUGCUGUGAGACCGAAACAUGAAGGAAAAAAAAACAUCACAAGAAGUCCCCAGGACAGCCCCUUUGCUGCUCAUGCUGUGUGGGAUGUCUGCAGGAGGAGCAGUGCUGCUGUGGGAUCCAGGUCAUCCCCUAACCGCCUCAUUGAGACAACUUUGUCUCCUGAAGCCUUCACACACUGUCACAGUCCCACAGCCACAGCGCACAGCACUGCAAGAGGAGCGGGUGAGAGAACUGCUAAGUAAUGCCAGUGCAGUUAUUGCUGCCACUGCCACAAAUCAAUCCUUUGGCACGGAGCAGACACGAGGACUGGGCUGUUUGCUCAACUGCAGCCAGGACGGGAAAUACCACCGCAAAGCUGCCAUUAUAGAAGUGCUCACAGGUGGCUUCUGAAACACCCCUGAGUAGAUUAAAUCAGACUGCAACUUCUGCCCGGUACCAACACAAGUGUAAAUAUACUCAAGGAUCAAAAGGUGAGAGAAUCUGAACUGCUCAUUCUCACAUCUCUUACCUCAAAUAUUUUUAUUCCUGUUGAAACUCAUUAAUGCUCCGGAGCCAAACUGCUUCUCAUCUCCAUUUUCAAACUAACCACACAGCAAGAACAAAGGCGAAGGCGGCUGCAGCUUUUUUAGGGUUUACAGAGAGCCUGAGCUGAACAAGGCCACACGGGCUCUGCCUCCCCCUCUUCUGCCCUUCCCUCUUGGGUUUGUAUAGGGAUGGAGGACAUGUUUGCCCUCAUUGCUAUGCGGACAUUUCGGUUUCUGUCCAUGUUUAAGACACUAAUGCCUAGCAAGUUUUGUGCCAACUGCAUGUAUCACCGUGUUUGACCAAGAAAGCAAAUAAAACCCUUAC